rnacentral:miRNA from 1 species
UUCCUGUAGCAUUUGUAUCU